UAGGGAAUCUUCCGCAAUGGACGAAAGUCUGACGGAGCAACGCCGCGUGAGUGAAGAAGGAUUUCGGUUCGUAAAACUCUGUUGUUAGGGAAGAAAAAAUGUAUAGUAACUAUAUACAAAAGAGAUGGUACCUAACCAGAAAGCCACGGCUAACUACGUGCCAGCAGCCGCGGUAAUACGUAGGUGGCAAGCGUUGUCCGGAAUUAUUGGGCGUAAAGCGCGCGCAGGUGGUUUAGAAAGUCUGAUGUGAAAGCCCACGGCUCAACCGUGGAGGGUCAUUGGAAACUAAUAAACUUGAGUGCAGGAGAGAAAAGUGGAAUUCCUAGUGGAGCGGUGAAAUGCGUAGAGAUUAGGAGGAACACCGGUGGCGAAAGCGGCUUUUUGGCCUGCAACUGACACUGAGGCGCGAAAGCGUGGGGAGCAAACAGG
rnacentral:rRNA from 1 species